CAAAAAAAAAAAGGUUUUCAUAUGCAUGACCCAAUAAUGAUGAGGUGGCUACCUAGAAGGAAGAUCAGAUCAACAUCAAAGUACUUAUAAGGCAUAUGUGACCAACUUGACAACAUCAUUGUAAAUGAUGUAAGACAUUGCCAUUCAAAUAAUUUUUUAUUUUUUUUGUCUUUAUGUUUCUUGUUUUUGUAUGUGAUCCAAUUUGAUCUAACGUAGAAUGAUUUUUAUUAACAAAAUCAAUUGAUAUAAUCUUUUGCGUAGGUAUAGAUAAUGGCAUCGAUCAAAGAGGAAGGAAUAUUGGGUAUUGUCACAUUAAUAUGUGGAUAAGCACAACAUUGUAUUUAGAAGCAAAAGUAUACCCCAUAUCGAGCAUGAUCAUCCAUAUUUCAACCAUAACAAGACUAUCAAAGAAACUCAAGGCAUGAAGGAGCUCAUCAACUCUCAAGUUUUCUUAAAAAACCUCGUCAUAAUCUAUGUGAUAGGUAGAUAAUGUUGAUUUCGCGAGCCAUUGGGGAUACGAUAUCUCCCUGAUGUCAACUCUCAAUCAACUAAGAGUGAUGCUUCCUUCCAAUCACCUACAAAAGAUGUCCGAACAGGUUGUCUGGACACACCCUCCGAAGCUCUAGUUAGAUUGACAAUAAAGAAUUUCUCCUCUUAGAAGUUCCUACAAUGGCUCUCUCUUACCUCCCCUCUUGCCCAAUGUGCUGUGGAAAGCUUUUAUAAUGUCUGGAGCCUUGUCACAUCUAGGGUGGAGGAAGUCUUUUGACUUUCACAGUCAUGAUGAUAUGACUGCUCAGAGGGUGGCAGCGCAAUCAUUAUCCUUUAAGCGGUUGAUAGAGAUCGUUGGUAAGGCGACCAAGCGCCUCCCUUGCCGCUUGAUUCUGCGGGCGGCGUAGUGCAGAGCGUGGCAGGUCACCUGAAAAGACAUGGGGUUGUCCUAUCGAGUGUGCCCUUGAUGGGAGGAAGAGUGACUGCCUGAGGAGUAUGAUUAGGGACAUUGUUUGGAACGCGUUAGAUAGUAUUGGAAGGGCAUGAGGCAACCGACCAUUAACAGCUGCAUCUGAACUGGAUGUUCCUAGUUGAUGGAACACGUCCAGACAAAGGCGAAGGGAUGCCACGUGUUCCAUAUCAGGGUGCCUUGAAAAGGUUAAGACAAGCCACCACAUGUCUGUCCAGAGGAGGUUCCUACAGAUAACUCUCAAAACAUAUCUUGCUUAACUUAUUGCCAACCAUCCUCACUCAGGCCUAGCUUAAAGCAAUAGCUUUAGCUCGGUAUUCACAAUUGUCAUCUACUCCUACAUCUUUUACAUGAACAAAACAAGGUUACAAACAUUUUGGAAAUGCAAAAACGUAGUUACAAGUCUUAUAUGAUCAUUUGAUUACAUCCUUUAGCUUUCUAUUUUAUUUUAUUUUAAGUGUGAUUCUUGCACUCGAUUUUUUUACCUAUUUCUCCUAAAACAAGCCAAAUAAUUUGAAAGUCACCUUUUAUUUACCUUACUAAACAAGUUAAUUCUAAAAAAAUUCAAAUUAAUUUCAAGAUAAGUAAAAUCAAUCUCAAAUCAGGCAUAAAUGUAAAUAAAUGACAGUUUAUUCAUUGCUUAAAUAAUUUUGUAAAUAAUUAUUUUUAAAAUAAAUUUACAUGGAACCUGUUUUUAAAUUUACAAAUGAUGAUACAAGAAAUGGUGAGAAUAAAUCUUUGAUACAGUAUUAUUUAUAUAAAAAUAUAUAUAUAGAGAGAGAAAUUAUCAUAUAUUCUCAUUUUAAAAAUUUAUUUUUAAUUUAAAUUUGAAAUAUAUUAUGCAAAAAUUUCUGAUGCAGAAAAAGAUGGGUCGUAUUGAAUCAUUAUUGGGCAUGGGACCAUGAGUUCAAAGCAGUUCAAAGGAUUCUGGGCCACCAGCCCACAAAUAUGGGCCCAAAAUCCAUGGGAUGAAUCCAACUCAACUUAACUCACAAAAGCCCAUACAAAUCAUGCUUGGGAUUGGGCCAAUCAUGCGGGCUUCUAAACCCAAUUGCUUCUCAAGGUUUGACCUUAGCCCAAGGUCAAUUAAUAGCCUGCACAAGGUUGGUAGAAAUUCACACAAGCUUCAAAAAGCCUUCAACUAAUGACUUGCUCCUUCAUAAAUGAUAUUUUUAAAAAUUUAUUUUAAUUUUAUUUUUUUUUCUUUCUCUCACAUUUUUCUUCCAAUUUUCAUGAGAACAUUUUCAAAUUCCCAAUAUUUUGAUUAUAAAAAUACCCUUUUAAAAAGGAAAAUGAAAAAUAAAGCCACAAAUUCAGGUGCCGAAAACCCUAACUUUAAAACCAAAACAUGGAGCAAAUCAAGUUGGAUGAGACCCAACUCUUGUAUACAAUCAUAAUCUUGAGCAAUCAUGGCUUGCCCCAAUUCAAUCCACAAGUCAACCUUUCAAUUGGUUCCUUGGACCACUCACCCUUCAAACUCAAAAGACAAAACUCAAAUAGUGACCCACACCCACAAAGUAAAAUUCAAAAAAAAUCAAACACUCAGCAGUACAAAAAGGGUCCCCAUCUAGGGUUAACCUCCAUAACCCCCAAACCCUAAUUAUUAAAAAAUAAAAAAAAUAAAAAAAAAGGUCAUAUCUUCCAAAGGAAAAAAGUGGUAAAUAAAGAAGAGGUGACCCCAAAAGGUGAAGACCAAGCCCAUCAGCAUUGCAUGUGCUUUGUGGGUGGCUAAAGAAGAAGGUUGGUGAUGUUGGUGGUGGGAAAAAAAAAAAUAUAUAUCAUAGAUUGGGCCCCAUGCUUUAAUUUAUGCCUGCCCUCUGCUUUCUUUACGGAUUAUUAUUGUCUUUGGAUUGAAGAGGAACAUAUAAGAACCUGGAUGUUUCCAUUUCAAGUUAGGAAAAUAGACAGUGCAGCUACAAAGUGAAACAAUUAUUUUAAAGGGUUUGAAGAAUACAGUGGGAAUGAGCCCAUUAUUAAGUCUUUUUAAUUCAAAUAUAGCUGCCUUGUUCCUUUAGAUGAUUACAUCUUUAGACUUUAACACCCAUAUAUAUAUAUAUAUAUAUAUAUAUAUAUAUAUAUAUAUAUAUAUAUAUAUAUAUAUAUAUAUAUAUCAUACAUGUAUAUGGGGCUUUUGUGAGGUCAAGACCUUUAAUUAUUAGGGUGAUCAUAAUAUUAGAAUAAUGCUAGUAAUUUUGAAUGGCUUAUUGAAAGUGUUACUUGGAAUAAAUAUAGUGAUAAUAAUAAUAAUGAUGAUGAUAAUAAUUUUUUUACAAAAUUAUUUGUUACAAUACUAAAUUCUAAAUGUAUGGAAAAUAAAUAAAUUAGAGAAGAUUUUCAUGUCACAAAUCAUAUUUUAGGGUGGUGUGGUGGGAUUCUCAUAAAACCAUGUUUAGCAUGUAAUAUGGUAAUACUUCUCAAGAAAUAGUUUUAUAGAGAAUUAAUUCUAUUUGGUAACGGUUUAUGAAAAUAGGUGUGAAAAAUAGUUGUUGAAUAUAAUUUUUGAAAAUUGUUCUUUGAUGUUUUAUAAAAUAACAUAUUUUUAAAUAUGUUUUAAAGAUAUUUUUUUAAUCACUCUACUCUACGUAUUUGUAUAAUUAUUUUAUAAAACAACUCUAAAAAAACAAGCAAAAAUAAUAGAAAACAAUUAGAAAAAUAUUAUCUAAAAACAUCAUGCCCUUGUUUGGUAACUAUUUUUUAAAAUAACCAUGAAAAAUAGUUUUUGAAAACAAUUUUUAAAAAUUAUUUUCUAAUUUUUGUAAAAUAAAAGUCUUUUUAAGAACCUAAAAUGUUUUUAACCUCUAUUUAAUAUUUUAAAAUGUGUUUUAAAAAUAAUUUUUAUAUCAAAUAUUUUAUUUUUAAUCAUUCUAUAUGUUUGUAUAAUUAUUUUCUAAAAUAGUCCUAAAAAUCCAUAAGAAAAUAUGUUUUUUACAAAUACAAUAUUUUAUGUUCUUAAGAACAUAAAACAAAAAACAAUUUCUAGUUAUCAAAAGUAUUUUUCAUUUUUUUUAAAGAACAGAAAACUAUUCUAAAAAAUAAAUGUCAAACAAGCUCUUAAGUAAAACAAAUUUCAAAAAUUUAUUUUAUAAAGUUUUAUAGAACAAAACUCUAUUUAAAAAUUUUGAAAUGUUUUUAACUAAUUUUUUAUUUUUUAAAAAAUAAUUUUUAUUUAUAGUACUUUAUUUUUAAUUAUUCUCUAUACUUAUAUGGUUGUUUUUUUAAAACAACCCUUACAACCACAAGUGAAAAUUUAACUAAAAAAAUGUUCUCAAAAAACACAUUUUUAUUAAGAACAAGUUUUUUUUUUAAAUUUUUAUUUGCUAAACAUUUUUUAGAACAGUUAAUAAACAAGCACUUAAAUAUCAUUUUGUGAUGACUAAAAAAAUAUUUUGAAAAUAUUUUUUAUAAUAUGAUAUAUAACACAAAAGAAUUUUUUUUAAAAAAAAAACUUAUGAAAUGAUAAUUCAAAAAUCAUUUCAAGUUAUAUUGGUUUAUGUUAAAAAAAAUUAGGCUAAUCUAACCUAUGGUAAUCACCCUAAAGUGGAAGUGAAUAGGAUGAUAGUCUCUUUUUGCAAAUUUAAACUAUGUGAAUGUAAGAGAUAAUUAUAUGCAAGUAUAUAGUAAACAAUAUAAAGACAAUUGCAUAUAAAUUAAAAGUGUAGAGAAAAGAGAAUGCAAACACAAGAUUUUAUAGUGGUUCAGCGUAACCCGACCUACAUCCACUCUCCUUUAGCUUCAAUCCCAAACUUGAGGUUCCACUAAUUCAAGGCUUCCAAACCAAGCCUUCAAACAAUACAAUUAGAUUAUGGUUCCAAUCCACCCUCUUGAACUUUUGGCUCCAAGCACCCUUUACACUUCUCAAGAGAUACCCUACUCUUGAACAACCACUCAAGUGAUACCCCACACUUGAGAAUCUUCCUCUCAAAGAUAUAUAAAUAAUUGAUCUCACAAAAUCUUAGUACAAAAACUUUAAACUCAAAUUAUACAAGAAAACUAGGAUUGAAUGGUGCAUUAAAGAUAUGCAAGUUUUAGAACAAUGGUGCACUCAAAACACUCUUCUAAGGCUCAAAUAUAUUCAAAAAAGGUUUGGGAAGGUUAAGUUCAUGAAGAUUGAAGCAUUUUUAUAGAAGAAAAAAAUCAAACUAGUCAUUGGGGGUUUGACCGAUCGAGCUGGGGGUCGACCUGUUAACUAACCGUUAACAUUUAAUGCUUGGUAGGUAACUGUUGGACCUCGAUCGGAUCUCAACCGAACCUCAAUUGGACCUCAACUGAUUGAGGCUCAACAUUGAUCGGUUGAACAAUCGUUUUGGAAGAAAGAGAGUUUUUUGCACCGUUGACUGGUUGAGUUGGGCGUCGACUCGGACCUCGACCGAUUGAGCUGGAGGUCAACCCGAACCUCGAUCGGUUGAGUUGGGGGUCAACCCAGACCUAAACCGGUUGAACUGGAAGUCGACUUGUUCCUCAUCCGGUUCAACCGGUUGAGCCGUUUUUGGCUCAACAAUCAACUUUUUCAAUUUAAACCCUUUUAAACAAGUUUGAAAAAACAUUUGAUACAAGAUUUUAGUUGAAAACAAGAAAUCAUUCAAUUUUAAAAAUAUUUAAAACAAAGUAACUUUUGGAUGAUUUCGAUGCAUAAGUAAAGAAUGUAAUGCAUGAAAAUCGUAGUGCAGCAACAACCUUACAAAGAGAUUUUAUGAAACUUGAAUCUUGAAAAACACUUCUCUUUGAGGUGGUUUUUUUUUGUUUAUGAUUUUUUCUUGACUUGAUUUGUCUGUGAUUGCCACUUUGAAAAUCGUCCUGUCUAAUCCUUAUUUUGUUAUUAUUAAGAUUAACCAAACCUUGGUUUUACCGUUUAUUAUGUAACUGUUUAAGUUUUUAGGUGAAUGAGUAAUUAAUAUAAUUAUUAAAUCCCUAAUUAUUUGAAUUUAAACUUUGUAUACUUUUGGUUUCCUCAAUUUAUUUCAUCUUCCCAUUUUUCAUUUUCAUUUAAAAAUAAAUAAAUGUGGAGCAUUAAAAUGUAUAAAAUUUCUCAUAAUCUAUCAUUUCUCUUAUUUCCUUCAUAUUUUCUUAUUUUAGGGUGUUUUUUUUUUUUGAACUUUUUUCUAGAAAACAACUGGUUUUCAAAUUUCAAAUCAGUUUUUUUUAUUGUUAAUUUAUUACUUUUUUUUUUUAUUGAAUAGAAAAAAUCAAAAUAUUUGGCUUUUUUUAAUGUUAAAAAGUAACUUUUUGGUUUUUUUUUUUUACUUUUAAUAUUUAAUAUAAGUGAAAUAUUUAAAAAAAUCAAACAACUUAAUACUCAAACAUUAUUUAGUUUUAAGUUAUAUCUAAAAUUAAGUAAAAUAAAAAUACCACCUAAGUCCUUGUUUGGUUUAAUUUCUCUAAAAUCAAAAACUUGUUCUUAAACUCAACAAGAGUUUAUAUGCUUAUUUGAUUAAUUUUACUCAAAAAGCUUAUAACUUCACAAAAAAAAAAAGAAAAAAAAAACAACAACAACUUAACAUGAAAGCUAAUAAAAUAUUAUUUCUUCUAGAAAUUCUAUUUUAAGUUACAUAAAUUUCUUUCAUAUUUAAUAAAAUUUUAUAAUACCAAAACUAAUUUUUUAAAAUGCCACUUUGACUUAAAUUUUAGUUUUCACUUAAAGUAAAAAAUAUAAAAUUAUCAAAAAAAAAAAAACAAACAAAAAGUUAUAGAGCAAGUACACAAACUAUAACAUAUUUACAUCUUUUUACUUUAUCUUUUUACCACAGCUUAAGGUUGUCCAAGAUCUUAUCUAAUCAAGUAUGGAUCACAAAAUGAGACCAAUAUUCUUUAAACCAACUUUCUCAAAAAAAAAAAAAAAAAAGGAAAAAGGCUUAAUGAGGUGGGUGUCUUUAUCCUUAAGGAAGUGGAACAUCAAUUCGAUGAAGCAAGAGUACUACCUAUAAAUAGUAAGAAGAUGACCCACUGCCCCCACAUACCCAAAUGGCCCACUUGUUGAUGGACUUAUGAUAUAUCAUAAUAUUAGAAAAGUGAAAUUCAUUGGGUGGAUGUUAACAGCCUGUUAAGAUAUUUUGUGUGGCUGAUACCACUUUAUUGUGACAACACCCACAAAUCAAAACAAAAAAUGCUACAAAAUAAUUUUAUUAGAAUCCAAGGGUCCUUCCAACCUAACACACACAUAUCUUUAUUACAUAUGAAGUGUCAACAUACUUCAAACAUAAUCCUAUCUUUGAGAUUUGGUGACGGGAUAUGUAUCAAUGUGAUUUUUGAAAAUUAAUAUAUAUUAAAAAAAAAAAAAAAGCACAUAAAACCAAGCCAAAUGCUUGGUUGUUGCUUUUGAAUGGUAGUGCACAUGCAGGAUUUUUUUUUUCUUUUUUUUUUUGGGGAAAUUUGUAGUUUUCAAGUGGAAACAAGAGGGGGGGAAAGUGGGGCAAUGCUCCAUUUGUUCUAAGGUUACGUGGAAAAAAGAUAGCUUGAUGUUGAAUUUGUUGGAUGGAGAUAUACACUUUCAUGAUAUAAAUGUCUAUGAUAUUUAUAUAAUUGAGGUAAAUUUUAUUUGAAAAAAUAUAAGGUUUUUUUUUUAUGAUUUUUUAAAAUUAAUUGAUUUAGAGUAUGUUUGACAAUGAUUUUAAGAUGUGUUUAUAAUAUUUCUAAUACUUAAAAGAUAAAAGAUCUAUUUGAGAAUUGUUUUUUAGAUCAAUUUUUUGUUUUCUAAAACAAAAAAUACAAAAAAACACAUUUGAUAAUCAAAAUUGUUUUUUAUUUUUUGUUCUUUUUAGAUAAUAUCAUUUAAUUGUUUUCAUUUUUUUUUUUAUAAUUGUUUUAAUAAGUAAUUAUACAAAUAUGUAGAAUAAUUAAAAAUAAAAUAUUAGAUAUAAAAAUUAUUUUUAAAACAUAUUUAAAAUAUUAAAAACAUUUUAAGUUUCCAAGCAAACUUUUAUUCUACAAAAAUCAAAUAAUAGUUUCUCAAAAAUGAUUUUUCAAAAUGAUUUUUUAAAACAAUUAUCAAACAGAUCAAAAAAAUUUCAAGUAUUAGAAAUGUUGAACUACCUUCUAAAAUAAUUGUCAAACACACUCUUAAUAAUUUUAUCAUAGAAAUCCUUUCCGGCUCUAUGCUCUUGUAAUUUCUUCUUAUAUUUCUAUUUUAUUCACAAUAAUUAAAUAAUGUAAAUCAUUAUUCUUCUAAUUUCUCCAAGAUUACUACUCAAUUUUGUUAUACAAUGAUGCUUGGUUCAAAUUUUUAGUCCCUCUUUUCAUCAAAUAAAUCCUAGUGGAAAUAGAUGACAACAUGCAAAUCAUGUCAAAUUUUCCAAGCAUUACUUUAAAAAAUCUAUUUCAUUUUUUAAAAUUUAUUAUUAUAUUUAAUAUUCAAAUGAUUUAAUAGAAAAAUUAUGAAUAAAAAUUUUAUUUUCAUCUCUUUUCUCAAUUCAUAUUCUUGUUAACCAAACACUAUCCAUAAUUUUCCAUAAAUUAUUUUUUUCCUAAAAAUUAUUUCCCAUUGUGGUUUUCUUUAAUUCCAUCCCAACAUUUCAAGGCCACUUAUGAAGUGGGUCAUGUUGUUUAUGGUUGGUAAGGCUACAUCACACCUUAUGAUAUUUAAUUAGGAGAUACCCACAUCCAAAUCUUCAAAAAUUGUCAGAUUUUAUAAUGAACAAAAAAAAUAAAUUUAAGUAAUUUCAAUUCUAUUUGUCCACUUGUAUUUUCUAACAUUUUGAUUUAAAAAUAUUAAAUUGAUUUCAAAACCUAUAUUAUAUCACAUGGUCUAUUUAUUUUUCAAAUAUUAAUUAUAUGGGGAAUAUUUGAGAAUCUUUUUAAUUGUUAAAUAAUUUUACACUAUAGUUAAUAAUACACUAAAAUAUAAGUUGAAGAAUUUUAAGAAUUAGAAAUCUUUUUAAUAAAUUAAGAUUAAAAAUGUUUUUACAGAAGAAUUAAAAAAAGAAGUCUGUAUAACAACAACUCUUUCGUGUAUAUUAUUAUUAUUGAAAUAUUUAGUUAAAAAACCUGAAAUAAUUUUAAAAUUGGAAAAAUAACGUCCUUUUCUCUUUUUUAUUUUCAAAAACUAACCUAUUUUUGACACUUUUAUCCUUCUUCAUUUCAACAAAAAUGACAUCACCCUUCAUUUCCCUCCCAUUCUAACCUAACUCUCUCUCUUCACGUUUUUUAUUAAAAAUAUCUGCAGUUAUUUUUAGUUGAAUUUUUUUUUGGAUUUAGGGUUUGUAGAUGUUUCUAUUAGGGUUUUUUUUUUUCUUUUUAGGUUUUUACAUUUUUAUUUAAACUUUUAUGAUAUUUUUUAUUAGGGUUUUUUUAUCGUUGUUUUUUGGUUGGGGUUUUUUUACAGUUAAUUAUUUUUUUUUUUGGAGAUUUUGUUUUGUUUUUUGUUGGAAUUUUAGUUGAAGUUUUUUGCUCUUGUUUUUUCAUUAGGAGGGAGUUUUUAUUGGGUUUUGAAAAUGAGAUCAAAUUAAUUAAGAUUUGUAGAUAAAACAUAAAUUUAAUCUCAUUUAAGUUCUUUUCAAAAUGAAACUUAACUAAAGUAUAACUUAGUUCAUUAUAAUCAAAUUCUCUAUCAAUGAAAGGGAAUUUUAACAUCAAUUUAAGCUUUUUCUAAAUAAAACUUCACUAUAAUAUAAUUCAGGUUAUCAUUAUGAUUGAAAAUGUUACCUUAAUCAGGUUUUUUUUAAGAUCAAACUUAAAAUGAAUGUAGAUAAAAUGAGAAAAAAGUAAAGUUUGAAGUCAUACUUAGAAAUAAAGUCAUGUAAUGAGAAGGAAUAUGUUGGGGUGAGAAAGUUAAAAAAAAAAAAGUUUGAAAGAUAAAUGAGCACGAAAAAAAUAAGUGAAUAUACAUAGUUAUUGAGAUAAACAAAUUGAAAGGGUAAAAGAGUCUAAAAUGGGUCAUCCUUCAACAAAAUUAAGGAGGGAGGUUCUUACAAUUUGAUGAUUAUUUUGACCUAUCUCCCCAAAUAGCCCAUUAUUAUUUAUGAAUGAAAAUACUUUAUCAAAUUUAAUGAAUUUUAUUUUUCAUAAAGUAGAUUCAAUAAUAAUAAUAUUCACAACUAUUUUCGACAACCCUUUUUUGUUCUUCGGAAAAAAAAAAAAAAAAAGAUUUAGCAAAUAUUUUUUACUUAUUUUUAAUUAUUUUUUUAUAAUUAUUUUAAAAUAUAAUAUUACAAAAAGAAUGAUUAAAAAUAAAACACUAGAUAUAUAAAUUAUUUUUAAAAUAUUAAAAAUAAAUUAAAAAAUAUUUCAACCUUUUAAACAAAUUUUUAUUGAUAAAAAAAAAUAUUUUUCAAAACUGUUUCUAAAAAACAGUUACUACCGACUAAGAUACUUCCAAGAAGAUAUCGGUGGCAACAUGACCAAGAAUGUAUGGGAAAUCAGGCAGAAACAAACAAAAAAAGGUAAAAAUGGAAGUGUAGACUAGAGAGAGCCUAACCACUAUGACUAUAGAGAUAGGCCAUGGCCAACCCAAAAGAUAAGCUCAGUGGCAUCAUCCUUCGUCCCCCAGCCCACUUGCACUUCCCCUGUCUUCACCAUUUCUUUUUCCAAUUUAUAAGAUAUUAUAUUAAAAUCAUUUUCAAGUUUGUGUGAAACUAUUUUAUUAGAAUUUUUUUUAAUUACGUGCUGUUUGUUUAUAUUAAUUUAUGUUUUUAUUUCCAUUUUUUAGAAAAUUGAGUUCCAAAAAUGAAAAUGGCGAAUACAUUAAUAUGGAAUUUUUAAAUAUUUCUUAAAAAUUUUGAAAACUAGUUUUUGAACCGUUGUGCAAAAAAGAAAUAAAAUCAAUUAAAAGAACUUACGAGACUCACAAUAUCAAAUAAAUAUGCAUAUUACAAAAAUAAAACAAAUAUUAAGAUAAAUAAAACAUUGUUUAAUAUAUAUGUUUGAUAUCGAACAAAUAAGAUUUUACAAAUUUUAAUUUCUGUAAACAAUUUUUGCUUUUUGUUUUAAUUAAAUCAUAUAUUUGAGAAAAGAAAAAAAUAAGAGAUGAAGGGCUUAUUUGACAACCGUUUUUUAAAACAAUUUUUGGGUAUCCCAAAUAAAAAACACAUAAAAUAUAUUUGAUAAUAAAAAAAUGUUUUUUACUCUUGGCAAUACAAAAUAGAAUAUUUUCAAAAGAAAGUUUUUAGUUGUUUUGUAUUAUUUUCAUUUAUUUUUUCAAUAACAGUUUUAAAAAAUAAUUAUAUAAUAUUAAAAAUAAAUUAUUAUAUAUAAUUUUUUUUAAAUAUAUUUCAAAAUAUUAAAAAACAGAUUAAAAAUAUUUUAGAUUUUCAAAUAUAAUUUUGUUUUACAAAAAUCAGAGAAUAGUUUUCAAAAAUUAUUGUUGAAAACUAUUUUUCAUAAUUGUUUUAAAAAAUAGUUAUCAAAUAGCCUCAAAAUUUAUUUUUAAAAAAUGAAAACUAGAAAACAUUUUUCAAAUCAAAUGCAACUUUAAUGUUAUAAUAUAAGUUAAAAAAGUAACCUCAAUAAUUUUUUAUUUAUAAUAUAUUAUAUAACAAAAAAAAUGAUUCUUUUGAUAAAAUUACCUAUCNNNNNNNNNNNNNNNNNNNNNNNNNNNNNNNNNNNNNNNNNNNNNNNNNNNNNNNNNNNNNNNNNNNNNNNNNNNNNNNNNNNNNNNNNNNNNNNNNNNNAAAAAAAUGAUCUUUGAUUAAAAAUUACCUUAUCAAGGGAUUAUUUAGAAAUUAUUUUUAAUAUUCUCCUAGAUUUUUAAAAUUGAUCAAAGUAAAUUAUAAAAAUGUAUCAAACACUUAGUUUUUUUUAUAUAAAAAAAAACACAUUUUUAAAUAUUGGAAAGCAAUUUUUUUAUCCCUUCUAAAAGAACUCUUAACCGUACAAGAUGCUAUAUGCAUCAUGUUGUAUUAUUAUAUUCAAGGGCGUGUACAAUAUUUUUUUUAAUGAAUUUAUUUGAAAAAACAUGCAUUAAAGGUAUCUUUUUCCUUUUUUUAAGUAAACUUUUUGAUAACUUUUUCUCUUUUAGGCAAAGGAUGACAAAUAAAUUCAACGGCCAUAAAAAGCAUCAAAAUCAUGAUAUUAUUUUUUAAAAAAAAUAUUAAAUACCUUUGAAUGGACUUAAAUUGUCAUAUUUUUAGCUUUAAUUGUAAAAUGAAACUAAAUCCAAAGUUCUAAAUUUUCAAAUACUCAACCAAAUUUUGAAUUCAAUUUUAUCCUACUCUAACAGAUUUUGUGCUGAUCCGACAAUAAUGAUAUAUUUUCAUAAUAUUUCAUUGAUAAUUAAUAUGACAUAUUAUUUUUUUUCUAUUUAUUUCAGGUCUUAUAAACUAUACUAAUGACAUGGACAGAUCUGUUACUUCAUCCAAAUGUGUCAAAGAUUCUCAUCAUACUUAAAAGUCGAGUAUUCUAUCAUUAUCAUAAAAGUUUUAUUAAAUAUUAAAUGAAUUUUUUUCAAUACUAAUUGUUUUCUUAAAUCAUAAAAUUUUUGAAGGAUUUAUUAAAUUUUUUUAUUUAAAAAAAAAAGGCUUUUAGCUUCUCUGAACAAACUUCAUAAUCCAAACGAAAAGAAUCAUUGUGAAAUCAUAAUCCCCUCUAAUUAGAAGAUGAUACAAAUCUCUCUUUGAUUCUUAGGGGAGAAGGAAAUGAAUAAAGGUAAAAUUGCAUGAAAAAGGGGGUUAGAAAGAGAAAUGGAGUGUCGUUAGCUGUAUCCACUAUAAAAAUGGGAAUCAAAGUUGAAAACGCGUUUUCUUUUGGGCCCUCAAACGUGGGAACUUUUGGCCAUUCUUCGUCUUCUUCACAUGCCCAACAACUCCCCCCAUCUCCACCAUUUCAAAGCCUACUACUAUUCCAUUCACAUUCACAUUUCACCCUUCCCUCACCUCCCCAUACAUAUACAAAUAUUUUUCUUCUUUAUAUUAUCUUCUCAUAUUAUUAUAUUCUAUACUUUAUUAUUAAUUCCCUUUUAUUAAUUGCCUAAAAUCUUACUAUAAAAAAUAAUAUAUGUAUAUAAAAAUAAAUAAAAAAUAAAAAAUUGAAGAAGUUGGAGGGCAAUAAUAGAAGGAGAAAUGGAGAGAAGAGAUGUAUGUGAUGAUUGAUGAAUUUGUUAUUAGAAGGAACAAAAAUUUGGAGGUUGUAUAUGAAUAUAUGCCAUGGAGAGAAUCUUGGUGGAUCUACUUUUUGUGACACUUUCCAUCACCCACCAAUGGUCACAACAUGGAUUUCAUUUGUCUACCAUCUCAAGUUCAAUGGCUUUUAUUUUAUUAUUUAUUUAUUUAUAUAUAUAUUUUUUAUUAUAUGCUUCAAAAUGUAUUAUGGCUAGUUAUGUAGGACCCUCUUCACUUAUAUGAAUGGUGGUUAUUAGGCAUAUUAUAGAUGUAAGAACAAGAAUAAUGAAAUUUAUUCUCCAUUGUAUGAUUAUUGAAAUGAUAGCAAGGAUUUAUUUUUUCUUCUUUUUGCAUAUAUAUUGUUAGGUGAUGGCUAGCAUUUUAUUAAUCAUAUUCUUCAUAAUUUCAUAUAAAAUGGGAAAAUAAGGGUUUGUUUGGAAACAAUUUUUAAAAGUAAUUUUUAAAAAUGGUUUUUGAAAACUAUUUUAUGAUUUUUAUGGAACAAAAAUCUGUUUGAAAAUAUAAAAUGUUUUUAAUAUGUUUUAAACAUGUUUUAAAAAUAUUUUUUAUAGUAGUGUGUUAUUUUAAAUUAUUUUACAUGUUUAUAUAAUUAUUUAUUAAUAUAUUUUUCAGAAAAUAAAUAAAAAUAAUAAAAAACAAAAUAGAUUUUUUUUUAAAUGCUUUGUUUUAUGUUCUUAAAAAUAAAAAAUAGAAAACAAUUUUUGGUUAUCAAACGUGUUUCUUAUGUUUUCUGUUUUAUAGAUUAGAAAACUAUUUUAAAAAAACAGUUUCUAAAUACGCCCUAAAUUUAUAUUUUCUUAAUUGAUUUGGAACAUUUUUUUAAAAUAAAAUAUGCAUAUGAGAAGAAGAAAAGAGAAAAGAAUAAUAGGAAUACUCGAAAAAUAAUUUGCCCAUUUGUGACAUUAAAAGAAAAACAUAAUUAUUUUGAGUAUUAAUAUGGUGCAACGUUUGGAAAAAAAAAUCAUUGAAUUAGUCAUAACAAGUCAUAUUAAUUGGAAUCCAUAAAUCAAUGGCAUCUCCAUAAUUUUAUUGGAGUUUAAGACCAAAAUAAUAUAUUUAUAAAAAAAAAUGAUAAGAAUAGUAUCCAUUUGAAAAUAUUUGUCAAAGUAGUCUUCUUUAUCCACGUAAGCAUCCACAUAGAUUUUAAGUGUAAAGAACCACCGUUGGUAACUGUGGUUUUAGAACUUACAAAAAUUUCCUUAAAACCACAGUUACAAACUGUGGUUUUACAAUUUCUCUUAGAACCACAGUUACUAACUGCGGUUUUAAAAUAAGUUUCCUUAAAACCACAGUUACAAACUGUGGUUUUACAAUUUCCUAACUUUACAAUUAUUUUUAAUUCGUUCACAUUUUAAUGGUGUUAUAAUUUUAAUAUUAUUUUUAAAAUAUUUUUUUUAUCAAAACAACCAUAAAACCACAGUUAUUCAAAUUAGUGAUGUUAUGUUAUUCACAUGUUUCCUUGAUAAUUUAAACAAAUAAAACUCAAAUGCAUCCUAAAGUCUAAAUGAAAUAAAUUCUAACUAAAUAAAUUAUUACAACCACUACCUAUUUUUCUUUCAUAUAAUUAAAAAAUUAUACAUUUUAACCCAGACAUAAGUUCAAAUCAUACUUAAUAAUAAAUAACCUAAAAUCAUAAUCACUGACAUUAAUUUUCAUAUGAAAAGAUAAAAUUUUAAAAUAAUAUAAACAAUUUCUUUAGUUAUUUUAAAAUUUAAAAAUAAUAUGAAUAAAUAAUUUUCUUUAGUUCAUAUGUGAAAAUAUUUGUAAAACAAAUAAAUAUUUUAUUUACUAUAAAUAUAUAAAUUUUUAUGGGAAUGCAUGUAGACCAAAUUAUUUUCUCAAAUUUUCAAGGAAAAUAUGAAAAAAUAAAGAUAAUAUAUAUAUAUAUAUUUUAAAACAGUCGUAACAAAAAAAUUUGUGAAAAGCAAAAUUCUAAAAUCCCAUACUUUUUUAUACAUGAGUCCCCUUAAAAAUAUUUGUGAAAAUUACAACAUAAUUGUAAUUUUGAUAAAAAAAUAUUUUAAAAAUAAUAUUAAAAUUACAACACCAUUAAAAUAUAUGCAGAAUGAAAAUAAUUGUAAAACCACAGUUACUAACUGUGGUUUUAUGGGUAUUUUGAUAAAAAAAUAUUUUAAAAAUAAUAUUAAAAUUACAACACCAUUAAAAUAGAUGUGAAUUGAAAAUAAUUGUAAAACCACAGUUACUAACUGUGGUUUUAAGGGAAAUUGUAAAACCACAGUUUGUAACUGUGGUUCUAAGAGAAAUUGUAAAACCACAGUUUGUAACUGUGGUUUUAAGGAAAUUUUUGUAAGUACUAAAACCACAGUCACCAACGGUGGUUCUUUACACUUAAAAUCCAUGUGGAUGCUUACGUGGAUAAAGAAGACUACUUUGACAAAUAUUUUCAAAUGGAUACUAUUCUUAUCAUUUUUUUUUACAAAUAUAUUAUUUUGGUCUUAAACUCAUUUUAUUGUGUGUCAAAAUCGAUUACAAAAAAAAAAAAAAGAAAAAAAAAAAGGUAAAUUCAAUCGAAUUUUCUAUCAAUUACGAGAAUAGAUUACCCCAAAAAGGCUAAAGGCCAAAGGCCAAGAAAAAAAAAUUAAAAAAGAAAAGAAAUAUUGAGUGGGCCCACGCAUGAGACCAAGGGAUGGCCCAUUAGCGUAGCACACGUGCAAGCCUUGUGAGGCCAAUUUCUUAGCAAAGUCCAUAUAUGAACUGUCAAAAGAGAAGAAACAUCAGCCGGUCAAAAAGCGGUCCAAUUUUAAUGGGCCAAUUCUUUAUAGUGGGCCCAUUCCGUCCCUUCACUUUAUUUCUAGGGAUAUGACCUCACUUCAAUAUCUUUGCUUUUAAUCCUAAGUUCAAUUUAUUUUUAUUUUUUACUUUAAUCAUUCUUUUACCACAAUUUUCAUAAUUUAUCACCACCCUUAACUUCUUGUAGACUUUUUUAUAGCUUACCAUUUUGGUCCAUUUAUACUAUAAUUUUCUAAAUAUUUAGGUCCUGUUUGGAUCGACUUUUAAGAAGUCAAAAUGUCUUAUUUAUUUAUUUAUUUAUUUAAGCUCAAUAAAAACUUAUAUAAAUUUUAUUUAGAUGUUUUAGGGUUUUUAAAAAAUAUUACUAUUAAAGUUAGAAAAACUUUACUUUUAAAAUUCUAAUUUUGACUUUUGGUAGGUCAAACUUCUUUUCUAUAAGUUCAAUAAGAAUUUUCUAUGCACUUUUCAUUUUGUUUAAAGAUUUUAUGGUUUAAAAAAUUCCUUAAUAUGAAAAUUAAUGAAUAUUUUAUAAUAUUAAUAUCCUCCUUUAAAAUUUAUGACUUUAGUUUUAAUUUCCAAAAAAAAAAAAAAAAAAAGAAUCUCAAACCAGGACUUACUCUUUUUUUUUCUUUUAUUUCAUGCCAUUAUUAUUAUAAUUAUUAUUUACUAAAUUUUGCUAUUUUUAAACUUAAAACCAAAAAGGUAGAAAAUAAUGAAAAGAGAAAAAAAAAAAAAAAAAGGGAAAAAGGAAAGCUUACGCAUCAUCAAUAGAUUUUGAUAUACUUGGAAAAAACAUAUUUCAUUUGGUAAAAUGCUUAAAUCUAUUUGAUUGAAUGUUUAAUUAUUUACCUUUAAUAAAAACUUUUAAAUUGACAUAAGCUGGAUUUUAGGCCCUUAGAAUCAUAUUUAUUAAUAAGGCAAAUAACGUAUAUAAAAAAUGAAUUUUUUUACUAAAAUUUAUGAGGUCAUUGUAUUUCUUUUAUCGUGAAAAAUGUGUUUUUAUAUGCUGAUAUGAAAAAAAAUAAAAAAUCAUAAAAUAGGAACUCAAAUAUAUAAAACACAAAUUUUAAAAUGUUAUUUUAAAAUAAUUAAUUUUUUUUUUUACAAACGUGUUACCUUUCGGGUAUUAUUAUAUUACCAUUGAUUUUUUAUAUUUAAAUAAUGCAAUAAUUUAUUAAUUAAAAAUUAAUUUUACAUUAAAAUAAAAAAUAUUUAUAUUUUUAAUAUUAUUUUGAUGAUGAUGUAUAUUCAUAAUAAUUUUAUAAUUUAUUUUUUAAAACACUUAAAUAAUGCAUUUAAUUUCAUAAUUUAUCAAACAUUUAACUUUUUCUCAUAAUUUAUUUUCAACAUAAUCAAUGUGAAAUUUAAAAUUGGGACUAUCAAAUAAAACAAAUAUUUAAUGAAAAAAAUAUAUAAAAAUCCAAAAUUCUCGAGCUCCACCGAAAUUGUAGGUGGGGGAAAAAUAAUAAUAUUUAAGCCAUAAAAAAUUUUAAAAUUAAAAAGAAAGAAAAGAGAGGGAAAAAAAGUACAACAACCUCUGUCAUUCUUCGCGGUUGCCGUUUCAUUUUCUUUCUCUGCCGUUUUGUCAAAAAUCUCACUCCGCUAACGGCGUAGAAUAUUUGGAACAGCUGUGCGUGCACCUCCGCGAGUGUCUAAUGGCCCGUACUCGCUCGAAUGAUUGACCACGUGUCACACAUGCAAAGGAGGAACAUAUAUCGCAUGAAAUUACGGAAACGCCCACGAUAAACACUGAGAGGUAAAAUGUAACUACAUUCCAUGGAACACGGCAAUCUUUUUUCCCGAAUAUAUGCUGUCACUACUGACUCGCUCCCCUCGCGGGAAUACGAGCCUCACGCGCUAUAAAGGAGCGUGGUGAGUCCUCCUCCAAUCACAUAGGAGAAUAGUGCUCUUCUUUCACCCAUCGACAUCAGCUAUGGUCCAUUCAAACACCUUUCUUUUCUCCAUUCUUUUAUUUUUUUGGACAUCGCUGACGUCAUCAAUUUUUUUAUUGAGUUUAUUAUCCCGCGUAUGAAAAUUUAAUUAUUUAUAUUAUUUUAUAAUUACACGUCAUACUAAUAGUUUUAAUUUUAUUGUAAUACAUAUACUCCUCGUGCCUCAAUAACUCAUUGAAUUUAUUAUUUAUCAUAUAAAAUUUUAAAUUUCUAAUAAUUUAAUCUAAAUUUAUAUAUUUUAUGUUAAAUUUACAAAAAUGAUGAUAUCGAGUGUUUUAUUACAUUUUUUUAUUUUUUAUUUUAAUAAUUAUUUGAUUUUAAAUUGGAACCGAUUUGAUAAUGAUUUUAUGAAUGGUUUUUUUUUUUAAUUUUUUUAACAUUUUAAAAAUAUUUGAAAAAAUGUUUUAUAUGAAUGACAAGACGUUCCAAACCCGUUUAUUUAAAUUUUAGACCGUCUUAUUAGGAAUAAGAUAAUGACACUAAUCAUCCCGAUGUCAUUCAUAAUUUUUUAGAAUUACCAUCAAACGUAAAUUUGUAUUAAUUUAGAUUUUCAUCUUGCCAUGAUUUAAAAUUUUUUAUUUUAUUUAGGUUUUGAAAUUUUGAUUAUUUUUAAGAAUACAAAAAUGAUUUUUUUUUUAGAUUUUUCAUUAAAGUUUAUCCCAAUUAUAAUAUUUAUUACCAUAGACAAAUCUUUUAAAGGACAAUCAGAUUGGAUGUUAUUAUGAUAUUUAAAAAUUAAUGUUUUCUAAAUGAUUUAAAUGAAGCCGUCUACAAUUAUUAUUAUUAUGUAUUAUUUAAUUAACGUACAAAAGUGUAUGUUGAUGAGUAGCUAUUUAAAAUCAAAGCCAAGUAUGGAGUGUAAGAAAGUCUAGAAGAUUUACAAAAUCUUAACAGGUGUCUUGUUUUGAUUGGUGGAGAGGAUGGUGUAUGGUGGACCUUCCAUACCAUAGAGCCAGCCUAGAAGCGAUGAGCAUCGUAUCAUUGUGAACACAUGCAUUCCCCACGCUCUUUGCAUGCGCGUGAAUAUCUCUCGAUCACCAUCAUGCAAACUCUCUUGCACUCUCUCUCUCUCAAAAAUCGGUCACCGUACUUUUUCUCUCUCCAGAAUCAUUCUAAAGCCAGAGUCUCUCUCUCCUGUUUCUCUCCAAAAUCACACUCUUCAUCACUCUCCCUCUCUCUCUCUAAAACCAGUUCACCACUGUUGACUCUCUCUAUGAAGAGCUCACAUUCACAUUCUUCUUACUCUACUCUCUCUUCGUCGGUUCACCAAUCUCUUUGAUUUCACCUUUGAUUCGUAUUUGUUGCAGUUAGGGUCAGGGUUAGUGUUUGUAAUGGAUCGGAAGCAAGGGUUCUUCGCGGCGUUGAAGGAGGAGGUGGUGAGGGGGCUUUCUCCGGCGAGGUCGCGGGCGAAGAGUCCGGGGAGGGCGGGGUCGCCGAUGUCGGGGCUGUUACGGAGGAGGAAGCAGAGCCACAACCAGUACGUGGCAAAUCCGGAGCCGCUGAUUUCGAGAUCGGGGAGUUUGAGGCCGGUGGUGGGGGAGACUUUGACGCCAUUGAUGGAGGGUCCGGAUCCAGACGGCAGCGAAAUCGGUGAGUCGAAGCGGAGUGGCUUAGGCUUAGGGCAUUGGAUGAAGGGACAGCUGUCCAGGACUCCGUCUGUGACUUCUGCGGCGUACAGGAGGUCUGAUCUCAGGCUGUUGCUUGGGGUGAUGGGCGCUCCUCUCGCCCCGGUGCACGUUAGCACCACUGACCCUUUGCCUCACCUGAGCAUCAAGGACACUCCCAUUGUGAGUAUCCCUCCCUCUAUUUGCUUGAGGUUUUUCUUUAUGAUUUUUUUAUUUAUUUUCAACUCCAGUGUGAUCAUUGAAGUGAGACAGCAAUUCGAUGUUUUGAUUUAGGAGAGCAGAGUGUUUGUUUAUGAGCGUUCUUUAUCUUUUCUCUUUAUUUGUACACAUGGUUUGGAAUGCUUCAAAUUAAUCUUUUCUCUUUUGGUAGUUGUGAUUUACAUUUAAGAUUUUCCAUUUUCUAACGUUUCUUGAUUUUUUUCUCGUUUGGUUGAUGAUGGAGGGGGAGGAAAAGAAAAAGGAAAAGAAAAAGAAAAUGAAAAUUUAGUCUUGAAUUUUACGUAUGAAAAAAAGAUCUUUCUAUCGAGCCCGAUUGGGCGGAGGGUUUUUUUUUUUUUCCCCUGUUUUGACUGUUUCAAACACCUAAAAAAUUAUCAUAAUUUUGUUUUAUUUUUCUACAUUUUUUAUGAUUAGCUAAAUCACUAAGAUCUUUGCAGCAUAAACUUUUAUAACUUUCAUUUAGAUCCAUGAGCUUGUAUAUUUUUUGCUUUUAGAUUUUUUUUUUUCAAAUUUAAAUAUUUUUUUUGGCUGGAUGUGUGGGGAUGAAAAUGGGAUGUUGGUUGCUGAGAUUCAGUUGAUCCGAGGGCUUGAAAUUAUUUUCUUCAAUUGGCAGCGUUCAACUUUAUAUUGUCUGUAGCUGAGUGAAAUUACCCUGAAUUUUUGUCUGCUUUGUGGGUGUUAUUGUAGGAAACUUCUUCUGCCCAGUACAUAUUGCAGCAAUACACAGCUGCCUCUGGAGGGCAAAAACUGCAGAACUCAAUUCGAAAUGCUUAUGCCAUGGGAAAGGUGAAGAUGAUAGCUUCUGAGUUUGAGACUGCAACUAGGGUUUUGAAGAACCGGAAUGCCUCAAAAGAUGCAGAUUCAGGUGGGUUUGUGCUCUGGCAGAUGAAUCCAGACAUGUGGUAUGUUGAACUUGCAGUUGGGGGUAGCAAGGUUCAUGCUGGCUGCAAUGGCAAGCUUGUCUGGAGGCACACACCCUGGCUGGGAGCGCAUUCUGCAAAGGGCCCUGUUAGGCCGUUGCGUCGAGCUCUUCAGGUGAAGCUUUACAUGAUCAUUCACUUGCUCUAGUUUUGGUUUUCCAUUUUAAUCAGUCUUCUGAUCAGAUGGCUUUAUUGCAUUCUUUAUUUCAGGGCCUUGAUCCAAGAACCACCGCUAGUAUGUUUGCUGAUGCAAGAUGCAUUGGAGAAAAGAAGAUCAAUGGUGAGGAUUGCUUUAUCCUCAAGCUAUGUGCUGACCCUCAGACAUUGAAGGCCAGGAGUGAAGGCCCAGCAGAGAUCAUAAGACAUGUUUUGUUUGGCUACUUCAGCCAGAAAACGGGUCUUCUUGUUCACAUGGAGGAUUCCCAUCUUACCCGCAUCCAAUCCAAUGGUGGAGAUGCUGUUUACUGGGAAACCACAAUCAAUUCAUUCCUGGAAGAUUAUAGGCCAGUUGAAGGGAUCAUGAUAGCUCACUCUGGGCGGUCAAUAGUGACCCUUUUCAGGUUUGGAGAGAUGGCAAUGAGCCAUACCAAGACCAGGAUGGAAGAAACUUGGACAAUUGAAGAGGUGGCAUUCAAUGUUCCUGGCCUUUCAGUGGACUGUUUCAUCCCUCCAGCUGACUUAAGAUCAGGGUCCAUUAGUGAAGCCUGUGAACUCCCUCAUGAAGAAAGAGGAAAGAGCUCAGUCUCCCUAGCAGCACACCGUGCCAAAGUUGCUGCGCUGGAGAAAACGCAUGAUGGUGGCAUUGAUAAUGUGAUUUGGAGGAUGGAAGUCUAACAAAGGGGUAGGAUUAAAUUAGGGCAAUUGUUUAUAUUGGUAGCUAGUUUUAAUUUACUAACAGAUUAGAUGGUAAAGUUACAGAGUAGGUGCUAAGUUGAUCGAGGGCUUUUGGAAGUUGCGGUAUGCCUCUAUUAAUCUGUAAAUAGAGCAUAAUCAUUCACAGGUUCCACCUGGGCCUCGAUGAAUCUUUAUACUCUCAAUGCAGGAUCCAGCUAUGGAGUUGGAGCUCGAUUUUCCAAUUAGGGAUAGAGCAAGUGGAGGUUUUGUUUUUUAGUUUACCUUCCAUGCAUGAAGGUGGUGAAGCUUUGGUAUAGCAGAUCCAUUAAAACCUUUUUAUGAUUCUACUAAUUCUCUUUGUCUAAAUGAAUACGGUUGUGGUAGCGACAAAAACUCUGCUACCAUCAUCCUAAAUGGGUUUGACACUAAUAUCUUAGUCCUUUAAUUCUACUGUUCAUGGAUGUGCUAGUCCUGGUGUGGUUGUUUGAUGUUAUAGUUCUUGGUUUGGGAAGUAAAAAGGAUUUCUUCAGAUCUGAGGGAAGAAAGGCAGGCAGGGUAAAAGAAGAAAAAACUCUGUAGUGUUUGUUUUUUAUUUUUGAUAGACUCUGCCACAAAAAUAUGUCUGAUAUGGGGUUUCUGGUUGUAGUGUGGCAUAUUGUCAGUGCUGCCAAGAAAAGAUGUAAACAGGACAUUGUGUCCGUCACAUAUUGAAUGCUUAUGAAUGUAGAGAUAAGCAUCUCUUCCUUUUGGAUCUCUGUGAAUUGUACAUUUCAAAUCUUUUUCAAUGCCCAGACCCUCUUUUUAUGAUGAGUAGAGAUAUAAAAGCCAAAACUCCUGUGUUUCUGUAUACAUAUUGAAUGCCCAAGUCUUAUUUUUUUUUUUAAUCACAGUAGUUUUCCUGAGCCUGUAAAUUGUUUGAUCAUUGAUAAGAGCUUCAGUUCUUAGAUCUCUUGCCUGUGGUGGGUAGGGUGUGGUUGGGGGUCUCUCUGAACUGAAGGUCUUCUUACUAUCCAUCUGUCCAUGGAUCUCUUAUCUUAGCAUGGUGCUACACAGCAUCUAGGGUUGGUUGUUGGAAAGUUAAGUGGCAGGGUUGCCCUUAGCCUCUCUUCCUUUACUCUCCCCCACCUAGUGGGGGAUGGUGGGGUCUCUGCAAAGUUGCUUUACUGUUUUUUAAAACCCAUCUCUCACCAGUGGCCAUCAAAAAAUUAACCAAUGUGGGGUUAGGUUGGAAGUGGGUUUGCCUCGUUUGAGGCAAAGCUUGUGCUUGAAAUAUCAUUACAGCACCAGGGGCACUAGGUGAAAGCCCUUGCUAAACCCCCAUGUGACUUCUAUCUUUUUAGCCCUUCUCCUUCCUCAGCACAGCUGUUUUGUUUUCUCUUACAUUUUAACCUGCUUUUCCAGACCUUGUCUUUCUCUUCUUUACUCCACUAGGGGUGUUCUUAAAAUAUAUAUAUAUGAAGUUUCCACCUCGUGAUGAUGUUCCUGAAUGGUCAAAUUCUGAAUUGAUGAGUGGGGGCUUAGUAUCAUUAGCUUUUUGGGGUAAGGUACAUAGGAGCAUUCGUAUUGAUGGUGGUUUUUGGAUGGGAGGGAUGACUUGGAAAAGUAUCAGUACAAAUAGUAAAUGGGAUAGCCCACCUCUCCAACAAAAUCCCUACGCUCUUCAAUUAGGCAGUUGCUUGUCUUUGCUUUUCAUGGACCAUUCUGCGCUGAGGAUUUCUUGCUUUUCUUUUGUCUUCCAAUGGGAUUCUUCUUUUGCUUUGCCUUACACAUUGUGUAGUGUUUUUCUUUUGUGUUGCUAAGAAAAUGACCUCAAUUUGGGUGCCUAUCCAAAUUUUACUUGUGUCAGCAUAGUUGUUUCCAUGGGUUGAGGACCAUCCUAGUUAAGUUUUGAUUUUGCAAUUCCCUAAAUGUGAAGGAACAUUAAACAACUCUCCCAAGAGGCAACUCAACCAAACCCUUGUCCACCUUCUUAAUUGCCACCUUCCACUGUCACAAUCAGCUCCAUCUCACUUAUGCCUUGUUAUUAAGCAAAGCUUGAUAAAAAAUGGGACCAUUCAAUUGGUUGCUGCAUUCCUUUCAUUUAUUGAGUCCAAAUAUUUGACUCAAAUCACUACCUUAACUUCCAUUCUCACACGUCAGAGAAAGUGAUGGUCGACCGCAGCCUAGAAUCGUGCAAUUAAUUUAAUUAUUGGAUAACUUAGCUCAUUAAAUGGGGAAGACCACUGGUUAAAAAAUCAAGGCCAAGUGAGUUGAAGGUUGGUCUAAAGUCCAAGCUUUUCUUAGGAAGUGGGGCUCCAUUGAGUUUAGUGAAACAAUGUAAUAUACAAAUUCAUUCUUCUAAUAAACUAAUCUUGGGCAAGAACAUCUCAUAUUCUUUAUUUUAACAACCCCUCCUUUUCCUUUUCCUUUUCCUUUCUUAUACUGGCUUUGUUAGAUUCUAAAGUUGACUCAACACCCUCAAUCCUUGACUACAAGCUCUGCUACCAUUCCUUACCUUCGCUUCCAUAUAAACAUACAAGCAUGUGUUGGAGCGAAGGAGCGCCGGUGGCUCCGUCUCGCUCAAUCCCCUUAAGUUGAACUAUGACCAUUAUUUAUCAUAUGGAUAAAACAAAAUUUUGAUACCAUGUUAAACUAUUACUUUAGUGAAUUCAAAAUGAGCCAAGCUUGCGUGAAAUUUGGUUCAUUGACAAGGGCUAUGCUUGACUUCACUUAAGAGUAUAAUUAAGAGUUGGAAUCUUCACAAAAAUUAUGAUAAUACAUUUGAGGAAUGAAGCUAAUAUUUAUGGGUAUUUGCAAUUGACUUUGGGUGGCUUAGUAUAUAGUAUAUAGUAUAUAGUAUAUAGUAUAAUCAAUAAAUGUGGUAAGAGUUUUAGGAAGUGUUGUUGAUUUGCUUGACAUGUUGAGCACUUCAAAAAAUAAAAUAGAUGGGGGGGUUGGGAAUUGGCAUGAGAGUUGGAAUUCAAUUGGGUAGAUAUUUAUGUACCUGAAAAAAAGUGUCGGCAAGGGAAGCUUAUAUGUAUUGCAGUGUGAAAAGAUUGGGGAGUGAUGCAUUUAUGCUUUCUCAGGAUAUUCAACAUCACUGCUUCUCAUUUUACUGUACAUGUUUGGCUCUUUGUAAUUAUGAGAAAAAGAAUAUAAAAAAAUGGGAAUUUUAUUUAAGAAGAAAAAUAUUAAUGAGAUGCUUUUUUGCACAUAGGAGUUUAGGAAGAUGUUUUAAGAGUUAAUUAAAUUUUAUUACAAAUUAAGUUAGAGUAUUAGGUAAAUCUUUUACAAAAGAUUACGAGCUUGUGAUAAUUGUUUUUGAGAAUAAUUUUUUAUUUUCCAAAGCAAAAAAAUAAAAAAAUAAGUUUAACUACCAAAAAAUUGUUUUUUGAGAACUGUUUAAAAUAUAAUUAUACAAACGUGUGAAAUAAUUAAAACUAAAGUACUUAAAUAUAAAAAUUAUUUUUAAAAUAUAUUUAAAAAUAUUAAAAAUAUUAAAAACAUUUUAAAUUCUCAAACAUAUUUUUAUUUAACAAAAUAUUAGAGAAUGGUUUUAAAAAAUUAUUUUUUAGAAAUAUUUUAAAAAACAGUUAUCAAACAAAACCUGUAAAACACUUGAUUAAUUGUAGAACUAAUUUUCAAAGUAACCAAAUGACCUUCAUUUGUUGGUUAUAUAACCUUAUUCACCUAUGCAUUUAGGAAUGAUAAUGAAAGUUUUUGGACGCCAUUGUCAUCUCACCCCUCAUCAAAUAAUGUUGGAAAAAGUACAAAUGUUUUAAAAACCAGUUUGAAUUUUUUUUAAAAAAAAACUCGAACUAGGUUCAAUUAUUAUUUUAUCUCGUGCCGUCCGAUUAUAUAUUAAUUAAAUAAAAAUAAAUUUAUUUGAUUUAUUUUUUAUUUUUCUUUUUUAAUACAUAUAAAAAUAAAAUAUGUUUCAUAAAAAUAAAUAAAUAAAAUUUUAUAAUAUUUAUAUUUUUACAAAUUACAUUUACUUUGAAUAUAAUUAAAAAAUUUAAAAUAAAAAAAAAUAUUAAAUGAAAAUUUCCCUUAUCCUCCUCUACCCAUUUGCUAUAUUCACUGACCAAUAACUGUGAGGAAACUAUGGUAUUUAUUAUUUAUAAAGAAAACAAUUUGUAGUUGGAUACGAAAUGAAUUGAGAAUCCUUAAAAAUCCUCGAAUAGAUUUCAUUGGUUGGCUGCCCACUUAACUCUCUUGGCUUAUUAUAUCUUGCCACGACAAAGCCAAACAACCAUAGGAAUGCGCACGUGCUGUUUUGAGAAACAAUAUUGACAUUAAAGAAAGCAUUGGAAGAAGAGCCAAAAAUAAUACUGGAUUUUUAGGAAGACGGGUAUGAAAAGAUUGAAAGUUAUCUCCUUGAUUUUAGGGGGAAAAAAAUGAUAACACGUUCCAUAUAUUAUUUUCCCUAGAAUUCUCCCAAAUAUUGGACUCCUAUGACUUUAAAUGUAAAUAGGAUACAUGUAUUGUGAUGGUGAAUUAAUAAUAUUGUUUUGUUUUUUUUUAAGAAUUUGAUUCUUCAUCGACCCACUUCAUAUUAUUUUCCUUUAUUGAUUUGAUUUUUUCUAUGGAUAUUGAGAUUUAUAGAUGUUACGGUUCUAUUAUAUUAAUGUAAGGUAAAUGACCUGAUAUUAAAAUACAAAUAAACAAAAAUAUAGUAUAUAUAUAUAUAAAACUUUUAUAAUGGUUCGAUGUUAUUAGAUUGAGAUCCACUCUCUUCAAACUCUUAAUCAUAUCAAAAUUACACUAACAAAACUUCAAGCUUUACACUUAAAUUGAUUGACUUCAUUAGACACUUACACUUUUUCUUAAAAAUGUUUUAUUCUUGAAUUUCCUAAGUGAUAUCCCACAUUUAUGAUUUCUAAGUGAUACCUUACAUUUAAAUGUGUUCCUCAAGUGAUACCUCGCAUUGGAGUCUAUGAGCCACCUUAUAAGGUAUACAAGAAAAUAUUUGAUAAGAAUAUAACUUUUAGUUUAUUAUUUUAUACAAUAGAAUAUAAGGAAAUUAUGGUUGAAUGGUGCACUAAGAUGAAAUGCAAAUUUGAAAGUGCAAUUUAAAAACAUUUCUCCAAGAAUAAAAUAAUAUUCAAGAAUGAUUUAAAACAUUUCUCCCUCGAUACAAGAAGUUUGGAGCCUUUAAAUAGGAAUUGGAAACAUAAAUGAGCUAUUAGACACAGUUUGGGUUCUAAUAAUUGACCAAUCGAUCAAUCAAGCUUUAGCCAUUAAGGUUACUGUUACCCAACUAGCUCAAUCAAUUUUCAACCAACUCUAUCGAUUUUUAAUUGGUUGAUGUAUAACCUCGAUUGAAUAAAUACAUGAAGAGAGAGAGUAUAAGUGCACCUUGACUAGUACAAUCCAAUUGACUCAAUUGGUUCCUUCCUACCUCAACUAGUUGCACUAUACAGUGCAUAAAAGACCCCAAUUUGAAGUUUGGACCCUUCAACCAUUUGUAUUCAAUUUCGCAAACCCUUUAAAGCAAGUUUAAGAAAGAUUAGAUUUAGAGUUUUAAUAUAAAAAAAUGAAAUCAUCCAAUUUAUAAAAAAAAAUAAAAAGAAAACCAAUUUAAACAUUAAAGAAGUUUGUAUGACACUAUUUCCCAAUUUCUCACAAUUUGGAGAUAAAAAUAUCAUUUAUUGGCUAAAAAAAUCACUUCAUGGGCUUAAGCAAGCUUCUCAUUAAUGGUUUGUUAAAUGAUCAUUAGAAUUAUUAGAUGUUAGUUAUAGGUAAUCAAAGGCACAUUAUUCAUUGUUUAUUGAACUUACAAAAGAUUCUUUCACUACAACAACAUUGAUGCAAUCUAGGCCACUAAACAAUUUUUGCACACUAAAUUCCACAUUUGAGAUUUGGGAAUUCUUGAAUACUUCCUUGUGAUUGAAGUUUUUUGCUUAAAGUGUGGUAUCUUUUUUAGUCAAAGAAAAUAAUCCUUGAAGCUUUUUGAAGAAUUUGACCUUCUUGCUUCCAAGCCUUCUUCUAUACCUUUGGAAUAUCUUCUUGAGCCAAACAUAUUCAAUGUUAAGUUAGUAAUAAAUCCUUCUAGUUAUUGUAGACUAAGUAGGUUAUUGUAUCUCAUAGUCACUCGGCUAGAUAUCUCCUAUAGUGUUCAAGUAUUAAGACAAUUUUUGGAUAAGCCGUGACAACCUUACCUUGUUACAAUAAAUCAUGUUUUUUGUUAUCUCAAAGGCUAUUAUAGGUAUGGAAUUCUUCUAUCUUCUUCUAUUACACUAAAGUUAAAUGCUUACAAUGAUUCAAGUUAGGCCGGUUGCCUAGAUUCAUUGUUCCAAUAUAGGAUAUUGUGUUUUGCUUGGGGAUUCACCAAUUUCUUGGAAAUCAAAGAAACAAUAUAUUGUUUUGUGUUUCUUAGCUAAACUAAAUAUUGGGUAAUAGUCACUAUUUGUUGUGAAAUCACUUGGUAAAAUUUUUUGCUUAUUGAUCUCAAUGUUUGUAACAUGAAGCACACGAACCUUGCUACUCUUAUUUGUGACAAUAAAAGAGUUCUCCAUAUUGUUGCCAAUCCUGCUUUUCUUGAGUAUGCCAAGCACAUCAAAAUCCAUUGUCAUCUAAUUCGCCAAAAGACUCAAUAGAGAUUUAUUCAAAUAGUUCAUCUUCCUUCGACUAAGCAGUUAGCUAACAUCUUUACAAAAUCUUUUGGGUUAAACCAUUUUCGCAUCUAAUUUUCAAGUUGGGUGUUCAUAGCCUCCAUAUGUCAACUUGAGGGGAAAGUAUUGAGAUUUCAGCAAAAAUUAAUAUUGAAUUUUUAGGAAUGCGAGUAUGGAAAUAUGGAAAGUUGGCCCUUACUUGUUCCCAUUUUUAAUAUAAAUUAUUUUCUAGAAUUCUCCUAAAUAUUAGACCCCCAUAUGUAUAAAGAUAAAUAAACUACAUUAAUACCAUGUGAUAGUGAGUUAACAAUAUUGUUUUGUUUUAUUAUUUUUAUCUUAAAGCAUAUAGAUUCUUUAUUUUUGCAUACAAAAUUAAAAUUUGAAUGAAGUGUAGCUUGCCAUGAUUUUAGUUUAGAUUUUUGAAAACUAGGGCCUGCUGUUACACGAUCCAACAAGGAUGCUUUCAUUUAGUGUCCAAGAGUCGGAUAAAUGGCACAAUAAUGGUUUCGUCUAGCUCGCUCAAGAUGUGGACGACUGUGGAACUUGCAUACAAGGUUAUCUAGGUGGUUUGUCCGGGCACGCCCCUUCGAUGUUGAAGUCAAUAAAUGGCUUAAGCAAGUAAGAAAUUUUUUCAAAAAGAAAGCGCAUAUCAUUUAUAGAAUAUGCAUGGUUAUUUAUACCUAUUGUGGUCUAAUGUCUUUUUAGGUGUCUUAAUGACACUUUAAUUGUGCUUGAUUGCAUGAUAUUACGACAUUGACCUGCAUAACGCCUGUCUUGCCAUGAUGAGCCGCUGAGAAUUGAAUUUUUCCAGUAACAAUUGUAUUUAAUAUGAAGCGUGUUUGACACGUAAUCUGCGCAUUAAUGAGUGAGUAAAUGUGUGAAGGACAGUCGAGCAUCAAUCUUAUUGUAUUCAUGUAGGAUUUGUUCGUCUAACCUACUUUGGGACAGAUCAAUCACUCGACCUUAAGGUCAUUGGGUCAUACGACUAAAGAUGGUCUAUCAAACGACUUGCCCACCCAAAUGAUUGAUGUAGAGUAGAGGAUUACGGGACGACCUUGCAGAGGGGUCCUACAAGGCCUAUGUGCUUAGACAUUAACAUAAGUUACUAAUCACUUUUCAAAAGGCUUUGAUUUUUUUUAAAUUUGAUAAAUUAAAUUCUAGUGAUGAUUAAAAGAAAGAUGAAGAGAGGAGGUCUCGGUUGAGUCAAUUCCAUGUGGCCAUACCUAAUUUAAAAUCGUUAGCAAGUCACAUCAAGGUGGGCACCUAACUCCAUUCAAAUCUCUCUGUGGACCAUAUUCCAAUAAGAUUUGGGCCUGUAAAGUUGUGUUGCAAGGCCCAAAUAUUAACUUUCAACACCCUGAACAAUGGGGCCCUAUUGGAUUAGCCCAUACAUAUUUCCAACCAAAAAAAAAAAGAAGAAGAAGAAGAAGAAAAGAACCUAUAAAGAUUUGAAUUGAAGAUUGUGAUUAUGAAAUUUUAGAUCUCCACAUGAUGUAGUCUAUAAGCAAAAAGGUCGGUUCAUAAUGAAAAUUAUAAUUUGAUGCUUGAUACAUUCAUAUUAGCUUUAUAGGUUUGACCAAUACAAUAAGGGUUUGACUAAUUGAGUUUUAGUGGGCUUUAGGCCUAUAACCUAAUCUUCAAAGUACCAGGAUUUAUUCUAAAGUUUUAUUUACAAAUAGAAACAUUUCAUUUUUCAAAAUGCUUUUUUGAAUUGCUUAUUCUACAAAUCGAAUAGUACGUAAUAUUCAGAACCAUGAUCUGUUAUAUUUUUUAUUUAAAAAUAUAAUUAAAAAGACCAAGAUAUACAUUGUAAUAUUUAUUAGUAAAAGGCAGCAAAUUUAAGAAUACAGUGGGCAGAGUUUCAAUUCAAAGUUUUUUUUGUAAGUGUUUUUAAGAGAAUUAUUUAUCAAGCCUUUUUUUAUAAAAGGCUUAACAUGAUUUUUUUUUUUUUAAUUUUAAAAGUGUUUUCUAAAUUUUAUCAAACAAGUAUUUUUUUUUUUUUUAAAUGUUUUUUAGAUAAAAACACUUUUUAAAAUCAUUAUUGCUCUAAAUCCUUAAAUCCACCACUUUUUUGGAACAACUUUUUGUUUUAUCUGGAAGCUGAAGUCGAAUCCAAAGUCAUAAGUUUCAAAAGACGAUAUUGGUAUUCGAAGGCAAUGUUUGGUUUCCAAAAAAUUUGAAGAAAAAUACGAAAAAAAAAAAAAGAAUUUUUUUUUUUAAGUUAAUAAAUUAUUUUUAUAUGUUUUUUCAAAUUCAUUUACUUCUUCAUUUUCAUUAUAUAAAGAUUAAAUAAUUAAAAAUUACAUAAAUUUGUAAUUACUUUUAAUUAUAUUUAAUUUUCUUUUAUAUUUUACAUGAAACCAAACAUAAACAAACCAUUUUCUUUUAACAUUUUUUUUUUCUUUUAUUUGCACUUUCUAGGAACCAGAUAUAGCCUAAAAGUUUUAUUAAAUAUAAAAUAAUUUAUUGUAUAAACCGGCAAGAGCUAAUAUUUUUUUAACUUCCAUCUUGAACUCAUUUUAAAUUAUAAACUCUUUGAAUAAAAUUAGUAAAACACAUACAAAAGCUCCUAUUGAGUUCAAAAAAUAACUUUCAGCUCUUCAGAGUCAAAUCCAAACGGACCCUAUAACACAAAAGUAUUGUUUGUUAAUCCUUGAUGUUAUUUGUAGAAAACUUUGGGCCUGUAGGGAUGUUAUGUGAUGAGCCCAUGUUUGUGUGAUGAUGGUAGGUCAAUGAAUCAUGGACCAUCUAAAAGGUGACUGAGCCCAAGCCCACAUCAUCACAACUAAAUUGGGCUCCCAGAGAAUAAUUGUGGGCCUAUAAAACAAACCAGUCAAGUGGGGCGGUUUUCAUUGGAAUUUGGGCUAAUGGGAUUGAUUAACUUCUAUUUGUGAAUCUUGGCCUCCACCUCACUCUUUCCUAUUUUCAUCUGCAGACUGCAAACUGCUUGCCAAAGAUUUCCCUGAAUUGGUAAAACUUGGGAUUCAAAACUAUGACUUCACCAUCCAAGCAAAGAUGACAGCUCUUUGGAGGGGCUUUUGUAUUUUUGUUACAUGAUAUGGUAUUGCUUCAAAUACCACAUUACAAACCUACCAUACUAUGAUUGAAAUGCUUUACCUACAUGAUCAAAUAAUUCAGUUGAAAUUAUUAUGGAGAGGCAUGAACGAACAUAGGUGGACCAAGAAUCCAAGUGCUGUUUCUGAAUUAAAAGACAAGAAAGAAAGAAAGAAAGCAAAAGAAAGGGGGAAAGCAAAGAAAGGAGAGGGUAAUGAUAGGCACCAAUUAAUAAACCCAAUGGCAAUAAUUCAAAAUAACUCCCCUCAACCUCAAAUACAAAAGCUUCCCUAAAAAAUAUCCCAAAGAAUCCAACUCAAUGUAGUAAUAAAAUGUCCCAUCAACCCCGUAAUGACAUCCCCAGUCAUAAUAUUUAAAAUCAAGAAGUAAAUAACACGAAUUUCACAAGGAACGGAGAAGGAGAACAUCUCUCUAGAUCACCAGGCUCAGUGCCAGUCCAAAUGCCAAGCUCCCGGCCACCUUCUUCAUCGACCACAGCUUUUCCACUCCAUUCUGCAAUGUACAACACAGCUAUCAUUAAACGUCAAAUAAACUUUAUAUAAAGCAUAUCGGGUUUGGGCACGUCUGGACAAAUGUGCAGAGCCAAGGACUCGAAUCCUGAGCCUGAUGUUCCCCUGCUUCAAUGCUAGCUGUCAUAAGGAAUGCUUUACUGGCCUAGUCUACUCCUAACUAUGAUUUGUUUUGGCACUUUUCCCGAUGCGUUUGAUGGUCGUGAUCAGGUGUAAUUGCAGCGAUCUCACGCCUAUCAGACUCUGUCAAGCUUACACCAGCUCCACAACCAAUGCACGUGUCGAGGGGCUCGAGACGCCAUAGUUGUGAUCAGUGGAACCUUGCGGAUUUAUGUUAGAAAAACUAAGUGGAGUGUUGCUAAUGUGCGCACUAACUAGGUGGCAGUUUAAACCAGUUAAAUGUGAACUAGGCUAGCUUAGAUCUAAGGAUCGGAUUGUAACUAGGCGCGCGAUCGAGCCGCGAGGUGAAAAUGAAAUGACUUACCACAUCGUUCGCAGCUGGUGCUGGUGAGAUUCCGCCUGAGAUCGGUCCAGGCGCCUCCGCUGGUGGUGCCGGCGGGCUGUUCGUAAGUGGCGAUGGAGCCAAGGCCGGAGAUUUCACUUUUGUGCUUGGAGCUGGCGCUGGAACCGCUGCUGGUGGAGAGGCGAGAGGAGCCGGUGGAGGAGUUGCGGGAGGAGGAGUUGCAGGUGGAGGAGUGGCCGGUGGGGGAGUGGCCGGUGGUGGAGUAGCCGGUGGAGGAGUGGCGGGCGGAGGGGUGGCCGGUGGAGGUGUUGCUGGUGGAGGGGUUGCUGGUGGAGGAGUGGCUGGUGGAGGAGUGGCCGGUGGUGGAGUGGCUGGGGGUGGAGUGGCCGGUGGUGGAGUGGCAGGCGGAGGAGUAGCCGGUGGCGGGGCUGAUACCGGAGGAGGAGACGAGGCGGGAGGAGAUGUAACAGCAGUUGGUGGUGACGCGGCGGGAGUUGUGGGGGUAGGAGGAGCUGGAGUGGCGGUGGGCCCUCCAGCGGGAGCCUGACCUCCAACGCCGGCGAAGACAAUGCAGACCAAUCCAAGAACAAGCAAACUCUUGCAAUCCAUCGUGUUAAGCUGCGCACACUGACACCCAAUCCUAUGCACAAUGGGACUGCAAGCAGAGGGAGUGAGACAGAGAGAGAAGUGGAGAAUGGAGAUUAUAAAUAGGCAGUUUGUAUGAGGGUGUUGC
rnacentral:lncRNA from 1 species